AGACUUUGAGUGAGUCGGCGAUCGCGGAAGGGGGCACGGGAAGCGGUUGGGUUGCUCUGGGAAGUAUUAUGGGGCCUGGGUGCGCCGAGGCUGCGGGGGCCGGGCCUGGCUGACUUAAUCUUCGUUCCCCACACAUUGGUUUCCGCAGUUCGAAGCCCAGUUGGGCCGACCAGGUGGAGGAGGAGGGGGAAGACGACAAAUGUGUCACCAGCGAGCUCCUCACGGGGAUCCCUCUGGCCACAGGUGACACCAGCCCAGAGCCAGAGCUACUGCCGGGAGCUCCACUGCCGCCUCCCAAGGAGGUCAUCAACGGAAACAUAAAGACAGUGACAGAGUACAAGAUAGAUGAGGA
rnacentral:sRNA from 1 species